GCUGCAGAGGCUCAAAUGAAGGAAAAGAUCUCAAAGGAAGGAAUCUGAAUUUAUCCAACAUGACAUUAAUUGUCAUUUUAUUUUGUUUUCUUUAUUCACCAGGAAUCAAGGGAGCCUCAGACACAAAAGAUGUCAACCAAACGCCUCGGUUCAUCACUAAAAGAGUCAGUGAAUCUGUACAGAGUGAGAUCAAAUGUUCACAUAAAAUACCAAGCUAUCAAAGAAUCCUCUGGUACAAACAAGGUCAAGACAAAGCCCUGCAGUUCCUGGGAUAUCUCAACACGAAGUUCGACAAUGUCGAGGAAGAGCUGAAGGGGAAGAUCAACUUCGAGGGAGAUGGCCGUAACAACGGAUCCCUCAGCAUCUCUGAUCUCAGACUGAAUGACAGUGCAGUGUAUUUCUGUGCAGCCAGUCUCCACAGUGCAGCACAUCUCAGUGGAGUCAAUACAAAAACCUUCUGAGCACCUGCAGAGAAGUCUUGGUAGAUGUUAUCCUCCUCUGACUGUUACUGGAGACCUCAUGACUCCACAGAGGAAAUUCCAUUA